rnacentral:tRNA from 1 species
GGUGGUAUAGCUCAGUGGUAGAGCACCUGCUUAGCAUGCACGAGGUCCUGGGUUCAAUCCCCCAUAUCUCUA